rnacentral:rRNA from 1 species
CCUACGGGAGGCAGCAGUGAGGAAUAUUGGUCAAUGGACGAGAGUCUGAACCAGCCAAGUAGCGUGAAGGAUGACUGCCCUAUGGGUUGUAAACUUCUUUUAUAUGGGAAUAAAAUGUUCCACGUGUGGGAUUUUGUAUGUACCAUAUGAAUAAGGAUCGGCUAACUCCGUGCCAGCAGCCGCGGUAAUACGGAGGAUCCGAGCGUUAUCCGGAUUUAUUGGGUUUAAAGGGAGCGUAGGUGGAUUGUUAAGUCAGUUGUGAAAGUUUGCGGCUCAACCGUAAAAUUGCAGUUGAUACUGGCAGUCUUGAGUACAGUAGAGGUGGGCGGAAUUCGUGGUGUAGCGGUGAAAUGCUUAGAUAUCACGAAGAACUCCGAUUGCGAAGGCAGUUCACUGGACUGCAACUGACACUGAUGCUCGAAAGUGUGGGUAUCAAACAGGAUUAGAUACCCCUGUAGUC